CCCUCAAAUAUGAAAAAAUGAGAAACAUCCUUAUGUUUCUAAGUGGGGUUGAGAUCCCUAUUCCUCAUAAACACUUUGUGGAUAGCACAACAAGAAUUCAUGAGUUUAAGAGUAGGUAACUCUUUACCAAUUGUACUUCAUACAAUUCUCAAUAUUUUUCUCUCUUACUUCUAGAUCACUCAUAGUCUUGUGGAUAGCACAACAAACUAUAAUGUUCUAGUUAAGUUUACCCUUCAAUCUCAUAUGGUGAUACUUAAACAAUGUCGCUCUUGUGGAUAGCACAACAAGACAACACUAUUUAAAUAAGCCAUAAACAUCAAUAUGCACUUAGUCAACAUUAUAUCAAUUUCUAUAGUAAGUCUUGUGGAUAGCACAACAAGCUCACUAAGAUCUUGAUAUACUCUAUUGACCAAGUAUGAAAGAAGGCCUUUGUAAUAUCUACAUCACUAAAUAAUCUCAGUUCGAAACUCAAUAAGAUCAAAUUGGUCAGGUCAGUAGGUGGGAGGCUCCCUGUAGCUUUUCUUAGACACCAACAAAGUUGGCCAGGCCAGCAAACAAACAUAAUUAGAAAACUACCUUUAACACUUAUGUAGAUACCAAUUGAUCAAAUAAAUUCGAUAUUUGAUUUGUAAGUGAAUCCUGAUAUUAUAACUUAAUAUAUUCUUUUACAGAGGAUCUUUGAACUAGUCUCGGUAUAUCCUAAUUACUACAUAAAAUAUAACAUACAAAUUAUGCAACUCAACAUGCCUUUCCAAGCUAUAAUAUCAUUCAUAUUAACAUGCCAAAAAUAAUUACAAUAAUC
rnacentral:lncRNA from 1 species